rnacentral:rRNA from 1 species
UACUAGAGUAGCACUCGCAUAUCAAUAAGCGGAGGAAAAGAAACUAACAAGGAUUCCCCUAGUAACGGCGAGUGAAGCGGGAAGAGCUCAAAUUUGAAAUCUUAAAGGGUUUCCCUUUACGAAUUGUAGUUUAAAGAAGUGUUUUCUGUUGAGGUUUUGGUAAAAGUUCUUUGGAAUAGGACAUCAUAGAGGGUGAGAAUCCCGUAUUUGACCUUUACUUUCAACUUUGUGAUACACUUUCAAAGAGUCGGAUUGUUUCGGGAAUGCAGUCCAAAAUGGGUGGUAAAUUUCAUCUAAAGCUAAAUAUUGGCGAGGAGACCGAUAGCGAACAAGUACCGUGAGGGAAAGAUGAAAAGGAACUUUGAAAAGAGAGUUAAACAGUACGUGAAAUUGUCAAAAGGGAAGCGUUUGACACCAGUGUUGUUUUUCUGAAAAUCAAUUAAAGAACUGUUUAUGCUAAGUUGUUUAGACUUUAUCAGCUAUCUGCUUAGUUUUGAGCUUUUCUUUAAUGCACUUUUCAGUUAACAAGUCAACAUCAAUUUCUUUUGCUGUAAAAAAGCUUGAGGAAGGUGGCUUGAGAUUCGUCUUAAGUGUUUAUAGCCUCUUGCCUAUGCAGUCGGAGAGAUUGAGGUCUGCAGCGUAGAUCCUUCGGGGCUAAAUGCAUUUGUGCUAAGUUAUAGCAUUUUAUAGACAACUUGUUGACUAUGAUUUGUCUUGUAGCUUACUCGCCUAUGUUAUUUUACCUACGCUUAGGAUGUUGAACUACUGAGACAUAGA